rnacentral:rRNA from 1 species
CCCUACGGGGCGCAGCAGUGAGGAAUAUUGGUCAAUGGGAGAGAUCCUGAACCAGCCAAGCCGCGUGAGGGAAGACGGCCCUAUGGGUUGUAAACCUCUUUUGUCGGAGAACAAAACCCGGGACGUGUCCCGGACUGCGUGUAUCCGAAGAAAAAGCAUCGGCUAACUCCGUGCCAGCAGCCGCGGUAAUACGGAGGAUGCGAGCGUUAUCCGGAUUUAUUGGGUUUAAAGGGUGCGCAGGCGGUUGAGUAAGACAGAUGUGAAAUCCCCGAGCUUAACUCGGGAAUGGCAUAUGUGACUGCUCG